rnacentral:rRNA from 1 species
AACGCUAGCUACAGGCUUAACACAUGCAAGUCGAGGGGAAACGACAUCGAAAGCUUGCUUUUGAUGGGCGUCGACCGGCGCACGGGUGAGUAACGCGUAUCCAACCUGCCCAUCACUUGGGGAUAACCUUGCGAAAGUAAGACUAAUACCCAAUGAUAUCUCUAGAAGACAUCUGAAAGAGAUUAAAGAUUUAUCGGUGAUGGAUGGGGAUGCGUCUGAUUAGCUUGUUGGCGGGGUAACGGCCCACCAAGGCGACGAUCAGUAGGGGUUCUGAGAGGAAGGUCCCCCACAUUGGAACUGAGACACGGUCCAAACUCCUACGGGAGGCAGCAGUGAGGAAUAUUGGUCAAUGGGCGAGAGCCUGAACCAGCCAAGUAGCGUGCAGGAUGACGGCCCUAUGGGUUGUAAACUGCUUUUAUAAGGGAAUAAAGUGAGUCUCGUGAGACUUUUUGCAUGUACCUUAUGAAUAAGGACCGGCUAAUUCCGUGCCAGCAGCCGCGGUAAUACGGAAGGUCCGGGCGUUAUCCGGAUUUAUUGGGUUUAAAGGGAGCGUAGGCCGGAGAUUAAGCGUGUUGUGAAAUGUAGACGCUCAACGUCUGCACUGCAGCGCGAACUGGUUUCCUUGAGUACGCACAAAGUGGGCGGAAUUCGUGGUGUAGCGGUGAAAUGCUUAGAUAUCACGAAGAACUCCGAUUGCGAAGGCAGCUCACUGGAGCGCAACUGACGCUGAAGCUCGAAAGUGCGGGUAUCGAACAGGAUUAGAUACCCUGGUAGUCCGCACGGUAAACGAUGGAUGCCCGCUGUUGGUCUGAAUAGGUCAGCGGCCAAGCGAAAGCAUUAAGCAUCCCACCUGGGGAGUACGCCGGCAACGGUGAAAC